UUAAGUUCAGCGGGUAUCCCUACCUGAUCCGAGGUCAACCAUAGAAGUUGGGGUUCUGGCGUGCAGCCGCAGGACCCUAGAGCGAGAGCAUUACUACGCUUAGGACCGUACGGUGCCGCCACUGACUUUGGGGCCGGCCGCAGCGGGCAGGGCCCAACACCAAGCAAGGCUUGAGGGUUGAAAUGACGCUCGAACAGGCA
rnacentral:misc_RNA from 1 species